UCAAUUGAAAGGGUCACAAAGAUGGUAAAUCCGAACUCAUUUGGGCGCUGGAUUUCAUUUUCACCCUACUUAUAUCAUUUUUUUCGAAAAGAAUUUGAAAAUCCGCUGGUGACCUUCAUUUUAGUCUAGGUCUGUACGUUUUAUCAAAAUAUUUAGCCUGAUUUUAGCAUUUACGAUCGCAGGGUCAAGUGUACAUUAAUUUACUUACUGCUUUGCCUCAGAUUAUUUGAGAUUUAAAAAACUAAAAUUAAUUUUUAAAUAUUAAUUUCAAUCGCUAUCAAGUUGAAAAAAAUCUCAAUCCUUUCCUCCUCCUUCAUCCACACGUUUCAAAAUCACUGAUAGUAAUGAGUAGCAAAAUUCAGUUCGAGGAAAUAAUUUUUCAAAAUUGAUAACCUAGAUUUGAUUUUUAAUAGAAUUGAUUUCAAUUUUAACAUGUAUCAAGAUCACAUUGCCCGGUGUGUAUUUAAUGUACUCAUACUCUAGAUUAUUUAUAAUUUGAAAAUUAAUUUUUAGAUAAUAUUUUUAUCGUAUCAAAUUAGCGUACGUACGUGGCCCCUGCUUCCCCCUCUCCAUCGAUCAAGUUUCAAAAUCUCUAUAGUAAUGAUUAUUUUUUCAAGUAUAAAUACUUUGUCGAGGAAAGGUUCCUUCCAUUACGAUGUUGUUACACCUAUAGUAGUUUUGUGGUUUUGUUACGUACUUACCUAUGUAUAACUUGGAUACGGAAUGUAUUCCAUAAAGUUAUUAUUAAUAUCCUUUCCUUCUUUCAAUCGUUUUUUCUUUUCUGGGUAAUAAGUACACCUACAGUGGUUCCACUAACGAAAAAUGCUUCAACAUUUUCACAUUUUCGUGUUGUUGGUUGGUGACAUUUUUGAUGGUUUUGGUUUCUGUGGAAGAAGUCCAAAGUGUAAGCUGUAUUGAAACAUAUUGAUUCUUCUCCAGUCUCAAAGGCUAAAAUGAAAAUUCCCAUGAGGAUCGAAAUUUUCGUAGAGUAAUCCUGAUCGCGAAUAUCAUUUGACAAAAUACCUGGCGUGAAGAGGGCGCUGGAAAGCGUCAAUCUCUAGUUGUGCAGUUGGAGUUAAUGCCGAAAAUGAAUGAUGAACUAGUACAUACAAUAGAAACGGACGAUUUCGUAGAGAUAAAAAGUGAAAAAUGUUACUGAGAAACAAUUUUUUCAAAUGGUGCACGAUGGGCGUGUUGUGUAAAUGAUGAGUGGAACAACUAUACAUGUUAGAUUCAUCGGGCUUUGAAACAACAACAUUCUUUUUGUCUUUCUUCAGAAAUCUUUACCAAAUGUCAACUAUAGUGGUCGUUAUCAUCUUCGUGUAUGCAAUAAGCACGAAUUCUCGUAUGAGAAAAGCAGCUCAUAAGUCUAGAAUUUCAGUUAUGUGUUUGCAUAACAGACCACGAAUCGAAUAAACGAAAUGGUCCUUCUGUUCAGAGUUUGGUUAGCCCACAUAUUCAAAAUAUUCAAAGCCCAAAGUAGGAGGAUUCGUUGAAUUCAGAGGCUGCAAUGAAAGUAAUUCCAGAAACGCGAACCGUAUUGCUUCAGACAGGUUGCAUGUAACCAAGAACGUGAAGCGUUGUCGUUUCAUAUGGUACUAGCUCCACUUGCAGAUUUAUUAACCGUACAAAAGUUAAAAUGAUUACCUGGUGCUGGCGAAUAUACUACGACGACACAAUCAGAAUUCAAGCUAUAUUUUGAAAACGAAGAUCUGGCAGCCCUUCUUUACAUUUGCAACAAUUUUGAAAAGUGACAACUAUAGUAAAGAAACAUUCAAUGAUUGCGCGGAAAGAGAAUUUUGGAGAAUGUUGGACAGACCCUGCCACAAGUGAAACCAUAUAUGUGGAAGAAAAACUAUGUAGAUCUAGACAAUGGAAUGUGAACGACUUUGAUGAAAAAGGCCUGCUCAAAAUUUAGAAAACAUGAAAUUCGUGGGAUUGAUCUAAGUGAACCACCUAAUUUUUUCCGGUCAUGAAUUGUUGAAGGCCCCCGAAGUACGUUUGAAGAUCAGUACUUCAUAGUGUAUUAUGCAAUUUGUCAUAUGUUUGAAGGUUCUGAAUCACUUAUUCUUGCAAGUAAAGAAGAGGAGUUCUACAAAAUUUCCGGGUUGCUCAGAGGAGUCAUUUAACGAUUCAAGAUCUGGCGCUUUCAUUGAACGUUGGGAGAAUUUUUGCCGAAACUGUCGACAAAAAUUCUCCCAACGUUAAAUGAAAGGGCCUGAUCUUGAAUUGUUAAAUGACUCCUCUGAGCAAACCCAGAAAUUUUGUAGAACACCUCUUCUUAAAAUCAGAAAACAAAAUAAUAAGCAAGUCUGUGAUAUAUUUAUGAUGCAUGUUGAUUGUUGAUAUACCUAAUGUGUAUUAAAUGUUCAUUUUUGUCGUGUUAUUAAAAUUUUAAUUUUCUUAUAAAAAAAAACUCUAAUUAGGGAGAUAUCCCAAUGGAAGGUACCUAAAAAUGAAUCGAAUAAAACUGAAUAGAAAGAGCUUGCAAAAAUACUUCACUAUGCCAAAAUUUGAAGCGCCUGCAUUUUUCGAUUUUUGGCGAAUUUUUGAAAAUUGAAUUGCAGUCUAAAAUGUGAAAAAAUCGAAAUGUCACUUAUCUAACUGAACCUAAAAUUUGGUGUGGUUCUAGUGAAAUUCAACGCUUGCGAACCUAAAUUAACAAAUUCAUAAACUUUUUGAAGAAUUUGGGCACAAUUUUCAAAAAAUUAUCGACGAUAUUAAUAAACUCUUCUCAAACCUUCAAUGGAAUUUUGGUUUUUGUAACUUGAGUAGCACGAUUUUGGAUUCUCACCCACAGAAACAAGAAUUGCGUACAAAUCAGUGGAAAAAAUUAUGCAAUUAGUAGUUGAUCAAAGUUCUGUUUUCUAUGAGCUGAUUUUUCUCGAGCUUUUUCAAACUCUUGUAGGAGGUAGACCCCUUCCCUGAAGACUUUUCCGAAAAUGGGUCGUUGAAUGGUGAAUCCGAAAGAAUUUUCUUGAGGCUCAGAAAGGAUGGAAAUCGAUGGCAGAUAAUUGUUUCGAGAGAUCAAAAAUGGAAUGUAAACCAACAAUUCAAUCAUUACGUCUUAAUUAUAUCAUUAUUUUA